UCUCGCUCUGUCACCCAGUGGGGAGUGCAGUGGUGCCAUGAACGCUCAUUGCAGCCUCAGGCUGGUCUCCGACUCCUGGGUUCAAAUGAUCCUCCUGCCCCAGCCUCCCAAAAUGCUGGAAUUACAGGCAUGAGUCACUGCGUCCGGCUGCUUUUCCAUUUUUCAUCGUAGCUCUAGAACAUCCAGUACAACAUUGAACAGAACCAACUAGAACAUCCAGUGCAACGUUGAACAGUAUUAGCCAGAACAUCCAGUACAAUGUUGAACAGAACCAACUAGAACAUCCAGUUCAACGUGGAACAGAACCGGCUAGAACAUCCAGUACAACGUGGAACAGAACCGACUAGAACAUCCAGUGCAACGUGGAUCAGAACCGGCUAGAACAUCCAGUGCAACGUGGAUCAGAACCGGCUAGAACAUCCAGUGCAACGUGGAACAGAACUGGCUAGAACAUCCAGUGCAACGUGGAACAGAACCGGCUAGAACAUCCAGUGCAACUUUGAACAGAAGUGUUGAAAGCAGACACCCUUGCUUGUUU
rnacentral:lncRNA from 10 species